UGGGGAAUUUUGGACAAUGGGCGCAAGCCUGAUCCAGCCAUUCCGCGUGCAGGAUGAAGGCCUUCGGGUUGUAAACUGCUUUUGUACGGAACGAAACAGCCCUUUCUAAUACAAGGGGUCAAUGACGGUACCGUAAGAAUAAGCGCCGGCUAACUACGUGCCAGCAGCCGCGGUAAUACGUAGGGUGCGAGCGUUAAUCGGAAUUACUGGGCGUAAAGCGUGCGCAGGCGGUCUUGUAAGACAGAUGUGAAAUCCCCGGGCUCAACCUGGGACCUGCAUUUGUGACUGCAAGGCUGGAGUACGGCAGAGGGGGAUGGAAUUCCGCGUGUAGCAGUGAAAUGCGUAGAUAUGCGGAGGAACACCGAUGGCGAAGGCAAUCCCCUGGGCCUGCACUGACGCUCAUGCACGAAAGAGGGGGGAGCAAAC
rnacentral:rRNA from 1 species